rnacentral:misc_RNA from 1 species
GUCCACUCGUCGGGAGCAUCGCCCAGUCCACAUUCCGGCAAGCCCUCCACCAUCUGGAUUCGACCCUCUUCAUCAGCUCUCCUUGACGACAUCCCCUCUACCAACUUCCUUUACCUCCUUAUCAGUAGCCUACUCCAGGACACAUUAAAGGAUGGUUGAGAUUCUGAAACCAGCAGAUAAAAAACAGCUUUCGAAAUGGAUAGGUGGUGGAUCAAGCAAACAGUUUGAGCUGUUGUUUAAAGCCACAAGGGAUGGGUGUGCCGCCAACGUCUUCCAUGCAAAGUGUGACAAUAAAGGCCCUACUGUCACGGUUUUCUACAACACUGUUGACUGUAUCUUCGGGGGUUAUACCAGCAUGAACUGGUUGUCUGUUACAACCUACAACUAUGACGAAAAAGCUUUCUUAUUUCGGCUACAGUUAAAGGGUGCUCCAGAGUACAAAAAAUACCCAGUGAAAGUCUUUAACAAUGCUAGCUAUUCGAAUGCCACUUAUGGCCCAACAUUUGGUGCAGGUCAUGAUAUAUAUUCCUUCAAUGGUACACUGGCAAAAACAGGAAACUAUUAUGCCAGCAAUGGUGGAGUAACUCUGGGACAAACAUACAACAUGCUUGGAGACACAGCUGCUACAUUUCAUGCAGAGAAUAUACAAUAUACAGACAUCGAAGUUUAUAAAGUUAUUGAUGGAGGUUUGUGUCUGGAGAAGCCUUGGCGUCCAAUUCCUGGUCUCAAUAUGAAGACUCUGAUGUCCGAAGUAGAGAAGUAUUCCCCUGUGGAUGCUGUGAGCAUCGACUACGUGAACAUCCUGCUGAUAGGAGCUGUAGGAGCCGGCAAGUCGAGUUACUUCAACACCAUCAACUCCAUAUUCCGUGGUCAUGUGACGAGUCAGGCUUGCAGUGGCAGCGCAGAGCACAGUCUCACUACCGUGUAUCGAGUGUACAAGAUUCGCUCUCAGGAAACUGGUUUUCCACUCAAGUUUCGACUGUGUGACACGCGAGGUCUGGAGGAGGCGCAGGGAAUGGAUUCAGCAGAUCUGUUGGCCAUACUUGACGGUCACCUUCCGGACCGCUACCAGUUCAAUCCAUCAAUGCCAGUCAGCCCAGAAGUAACAGGCUACAAGAAAAAUCCAACUUUACAGGAUAAAAUCCAUGUCAUUGCAUUUGUCAUGGAUGGAUGCUCAGUGGAUGUUUUUCCAGAAAAGAUUCUUACAAACAUUAAGGCUACACAACAAAAGGCAAAUCAGAGAGGUAUCCCCCAAGUGGUUCUGCUCACCAAAGUGGACCGUGUGUGUCAGGAAGUGGAACAGGACCUGUCACAGGUCUUCUACAGCCAGGCAGUCCAGGAUCUUGUUGAUGAGGUGUCACAGCUCGUGGGAUUACCACGGGCUCACAUCCUGCCAGUCAAGAAUUACGAGAGAGAGAUGGAGUUGGACCAGGAUGUCAACAUACCGGCAUUGCUGAGUGUCAGACAGAUGCUGAGAUUCGCAGACGACUAUCUCUACAACUUUGUUGAUGAAAGUUAAACAUGACAUUUUAAAUCUUGUUGAGGUGCUGGAACCCAUGGCUUCUGUGUUGUGCACAUGUAUCUGGGAAGAGCAUUUUGCCAGCAGACACCAUGACAAUCCUGUGACUUCAAUAACUAGAUAGCAGUACAGCUGAGGACAGACAAAAAUAGUUUUCUUAAAUUAAGGUAUUUUUUCAAAUUACAUUCUUUGAAAAUCAUAGAAAUAAGGUAUACAAAAUUUGCCGUAUUUAUUAGUGGAUUAAGUUCAAUGUUGCUUUCUUUGCUCAUUUUAGCCUCAUUUUACUAACAUUUCUAUGAAUGCGACAGAAAUUUGUUUACUUUUGGCUGGGUUUCCAUUGAAGUUCACUUUUCACAUGUCAUGAUUCACUUUUCACCAUUCACGCGUGAACAGAAUAUCAAUUUUUUCUUGCAGUGUAAACAAUAUGAACAACAGAGACUGAUUCUAUGUAAUUCCUUCCAGCUUUUUCAACCAAUAGAUUUACAGUUACUGUUAUAUGGUAGAAGCACAUUAAACGAUGCCAAUAAUAAAGAAAUAUUUACUUAUGUUCAAAUAUAUAUAAAAAAAAACCUCAUCGUUUUGAUUAAUAAAGUAUUAUUUAAAUUACCAAAAGGAUUAUUUGUAAAUGUGAUAGCAAAUUUAA